rnacentral:lncRNA from 1 species
CCCUCUCUUUCUCCUCACUCUCUCUCCAAUCUAAUACAGGUGUUUCUCUCUCUCUCUCUCUUAACCUUUCUCCUCUCUCUCUCUAUCUUUCACUAACUCUUUUUCACUCACACUAACUUUCCCUCUCUCAACCCUUCUUCUCUCUCUCCCUCCCAGGAUCUCUCUCUCUUCGGAUCUCUCUCUUCCCCCUAUUCUCUCUUUUUCUCUCUUUUUUCCCAAGAUAGCCCCCACUCUCUCUCCUCUCCCUUCUCCAGUUGUCCCCACUCUCUCUCUUCUCUACUACAGCUGUCCCCCAUUCUCUGUCUCUCCCCCUCCCCUACUCUCCUAUGCUUUCUCUCUCUCUUUCUCCUUCUCUAUUAUGUCUCUUCCCAUUCUAUUUCUCUUUCUCUCUUUAAUAAAAAACUUUUUUCAU